CAGAGGUCCCAAGCGUUGUUCGGAUUCACUGGGCGUAAAGGGUGCGUAGGUGGUGAGGUAAGUUUGAUGUGAAAUCUCCGGGCUCAACCCGGAAAUGGCAUUGAAUACUAUCUCGCUAGAGGAGUGGAGGGGGGACUGGAAUACUUGGUGUAGCAGUGAAAUGCGUAGAUAUCAAGUGGAACACCAGUGGCGAAGGCGAGUCCCUGGACACUUCCUGACACUGAGGCACGAAAGCUAGGGGAGCAAACAGGAUUAGAUACCCUGGUAGUCCUAGCCCUAAACUGUGCACGUUUGCUGUAAAAGGAAUCGACCCCUUUUGUGGCGAAGCUAACGCGUUAAACGUGCCGCCUGGGGAGUACGGUCGCAAGAUUA
rnacentral:rRNA from 1 species